rnacentral:rRNA from 1 species
GAUGAACGCUGGCGGCGUGCCUAAUACAUGCAAGUCGAGCGAACGGACGAGAAGCUUGCUUCUCUGAUGUUAGCGGCGGACGGGUGAGUAACACGUGGAUAACCUACCUAUAAGACUGGGAUAACUUCGGGAAACCGGAGCUAAUACCGUAUAAUAUUUUGAACCGCAUGGUUCAAAAGUGAAAGACGGUCUUGCUGUCACUUAUAGAUGGAUCCGCGCUGCAUUAGCUAGUUGGUAAGGUAACGGCUUACCAAGGCAACGAUGCGUAGCCGGCCUGAGAGGGUGAUAGGCGACACUGGAACUGAGACACGGUCCAGACUCCUACGGGAGGCAGCAGUAGGGAAUCUUCCGCAAUGGGCGAAAGCAUGACGGAGCAACGCCGCGUGAGUGAUGAAGGUCUUCGGAUCGUAAAACUCUGUUAUUAGGGAAGAACAUAUGUGUAAGUAACUGUGCACAUCUUGACGGUACCUAAUCAGAAAGCCACGGCUAACUACGUG